GACAUAUUCAAAUCACGUGGUUCUUUGCGUUUGCUUUCAGCGGCACAUAACUUAUCCACACGUGUGACAAAGGAAAUUCACAAAUACAUCAUGGACUAUGGAAAUUACGGUGGAGGAAGAGGCAGAGGAGGAGGAAGAAGAGGAUCAGGAAAGAAAUUUGGUGAACCUGAAGAUCCAGAGUCGGAGCAAUUUAGAAAAUUAUUUAUUGGUGGAUUAAGUUACGAAACAGAUGAGGAAGGACUCAAAGAACAUUUUGGACAAUGGGGAGAAAUUGUAGAUGUUGUUGUCAUGAGAGAUCCUCAGAGCAAGCGGUCAAGGGGCUUUGGUUUUGUAACUUUCAAAGAAUCUCAAAAUGUGGAUGAUUCACAGAAUUGUCGACCACACAAACUAGAUGGAAGAGAAGUCGAAACUAAAAGAGCUAUGCGUAGAGAGGACUCCAAUGACCCAGACGUACAGCAGACAUGUAAAAAACUUUUUAUUGGAGGGAUGAAAGAUGGCACUGAUGAACAAGAUCUGCGUGAUGUAUUUGAACAAUACGGAUCUAUUAAGGAAGUAAAUGUACCAGUAGACAAAGCAACAGGCAAACUCAAAGGAUUUGCCUUCAUAGAAUUUGAGGAUUAUGAUCCUGUUGAUAAAUGUGUUUUGAUGAAAUAUUUUACUCUAUCUGGGAAAAGUGUGGAAGUAAAAAAGGCAAAGAAAAAGGAUGGUGAAGGAGGGGGUCGUGGUGGGGGAAGAGGUGGCGGCAGAGGAGGUAGGGGAGGUCAAGGUGGUGGAUAUGGAGGUCAAAGUGGUGGAUAUGGAGGUCAAGCAGGAGGCUACCAGAGCUAUGGCGGUGGUUAUGGUGGAGGUUAUGACGAUGGUAGUGGUGGUUACAACCAAAGUAGUACAUAUAACCAAGGUUACAGUGAUGGUGGAUACAGUGCGGGUGGAUAUGGUGGUGGAUAUGGAGGUGGACAAGGGGGAGGUGACUAUAAUCAACAGUUUGGACAAAGUUACACAGGGAAUUCUGGUGGAGGACCAAUGAGGGGACAGUAUGGUAACAAACGAGGAGGCGGAGGAGGAGGACCUUAUCAGAGUGGAGGAAGAGGUAGAGGCGGUUACAACAGAUAAAUCAUACUCAACAAUUUUUAGGAUGUACAGAAUGACAUUCUAUUGAAAUAUGGAAGACCUGUUAUAGCAUAAAGAUGUCUUUAGAGCAAAAUUAUGAACGAGACAACAACCACAAUCUAUAGGUCAACAACCAGUAUUCAACAAUAGACAGAUACCUGAACAUUAUGUCGAGCUCUUUAUUGCCCUUAGUCUAGAAAUAUCAACCAAGAAUAAUGAAAAAGAGAGACUAAAGAUACAAAAGGGACAUCCAAACUUGGAGAAGACAAAAUUUUGUCAAAUGGACUAAUGUUAAUCAAGUCCAAGUGUGAAGAAACAUUGAGGGUAUACUGUGUUCCCUAUUGCUAUAACUGAUCACUUGUUAUCCAUGUUGAAUUUUUAGUGUUUAAAUGAAUUUUGGGAUCAUGGUUGGUAGACAUCACUCUUCAAAAGAAUUUAAUCUACAUGGUAGCUUUCCAAUUUGCAAAAAAGUUGUCUUGUUAAUGAUAAUUGUAAUGAAAAUAAACUAUUACAGAUUUUUUGCCAUGCACUACAUAUUGUCUACAUAUUCCGUAAUUGUGAUCCUAAUUCAAUGUUAUGACUAUCAGCCUUAUUUACUUUAUGAAUUAAAAAUUAUGAUAUUAACACUUACCAUGCUGAAUUGUUUCAGAUAAUGUCUAAUUUUCGUUUAUUUGCCAAAAUAUGCAAAUUAAAUGCAAAUGAGCUUUACCCUGCUGCUGAUGCAUAUUGAUUCCUUUAAAUCUAAGAUAGGGGAUCACAGGGUGGGGUAAUCUUGGUGAGGAGGCAGGGGUUGGUGGGCGGGAAUUAGCCCCAAAGUUGGUCAUCAGGUGCAAAAAGCGUCAAUUUUGAUGAUUUUUCGUCCUAUUUCUUGACCAGGAAAACCGAGGGAUGCUGAUAGAUGUAUCUUACUGUAGUCUGCAUGUAGAGUAGACCCUAAUGAACACACUUAUCACAACAAACCUAGGUCGGAGUCAAACUGAUCAUGGUACAGCAGUCUAAAGAAGGUCAUUUGCACCCUAAAUCCGGAAUUUCUAGAUUUUUCCCAAUUUUUGGCUUCAACUGGACCAGCAACCGGAAGUAGUUGUUCACUAAGAGGAUUUCAAUAAUAAACACAGUAUUUAUAUUCCAGCAGGUUUACACUAAUUUUUAAAGUUUUAGGCCUCUGAACUGCGUGUGUCUGACAUCGAAGAGAAGCCCAUCCCUCCAGAAAAACCAGUUUUAUUCGAUUUCAAUUUUACAAAUUUGUAUUUGAGCUGAAAAUGCACCUUAAACAUGAGAAACAUGACAAUAAAUAGCCUCAGUUUGAGGAAACAUGUAACAACUUUGAAAUUAUGUCAUAAAUUUGACCUCUAAAAGUAUGGAGAGCCAUUGGAGCCAAAUAAAGGUAUCACCGCAUGGUAAGGGUUAAGAAAUGGAAAAAAUGCUUCAUUCUUCUCUACUUCUCAAAUAUAAAUAUGCUUAGAAAAGGUUGAUAGUUGGCAAUCAUGGUUCAUUUACGUAUUUGUAGAUAUAUUUAUGGAUUUGAUGUUCAGUGUGAAAUUUAUUUGUGUUGUGUUUUUGUACAGGAUUAUUUGACUUCUAAUAAACUUAGAAAAGACA